GGAAAAGUUUCCAUUGGUAGGGUAAGGUAUUUGCUAAAUAUUGUGUUUACGCACAUGGGUGUUCGAGUCACCUCUUUUCCG
rnacentral:tRNA from 1 species